rnacentral:lncRNA from 1 species
CCUAAGUGCUCACUAAGCUCCACCGCCAGCCGACUUUCUACGACUAUCAGCUGUUCCCCGAAUCCCUUCCGGACUUCUUCCAGCCAGGUUCAACUCCAAUCUGAGCUACCACGGACUUCGCCAACGGCUGAACUUCCCCAACGGUAGCUUCCUACAACUACCAGAUUUCAGUCCGGACUCCUACGGGAGCCAGAUCUCAUCUCCAACUCCAACUGCGGGAAGACUCCGCCCGAACUCCUAUGGGAGCCAGGUCUCGUUCCCAAUUCUGGCUGCACAAGGACUUCGCCCGGACUCCUAUGGGAGCCGGGCUCCACCCA